GCAAUAUUAAAAUGCUUGAGAAUCCUUCUCGCGAUAUCAGCAUAAUAGAACUGAUCUGUGUUUAAAUGAUUUCGCUGCAGCUAAACGCAUUAACCUGCUUUCUAUAUAAAAUAAAAACAGUUUUGUGAAAUUCUAAUUUUCUAAAUCUGAAAUUUCAUUCUAGAUAUGUGAGAUUCUUGAUGGUGCAGAUGGACAGCUUUGAAAUAGAGAAGUUGAAGGAAAGGCAGCUUGAUACCUUGGUUAAAACCUUUGAAGAUUUCACAAGACUUCAGGAAGCUACAUCCAGAGGCAGACUUUUUGAAGACUGGACUACAAUUGCAGACCAAAUUGUUGCCUAUGCCCAGCAAGAUGGAAAGGUGCAUUAAGAGCUGGGUGACAUGACUUCAGAUGCUAAAGGGGAGAGUGCUUUCAAAGUCCUGCCCAUUCUGGAGGAAUGGUCCACAGAACCACAACCACAGAAUUCUGGAGGCCAUGCAUUG